rnacentral:rRNA from 1 species
GAUGAACGCUGGCGGCGUGCCUAAUACAUGCAAGUCGAGCGAACAGACGAGGAGCUUGCUCCUCUGACGUUAGCGGCGGACGGGUGAGUAACACGUGGAUAACCUACCUAUAAGACUGGGAUAACUUCGGGAAACCGGAGUUAAUACCGGAUAAUAUAUUGAACCGCAUGGUUCAAUAGUGAAAGACGGUUUUGCUGUCACUUAUAGAUGGAUCCGCGCCGCAUUAGCUAGUUGGUAAGGUAACGGCUUACCAAGGCAACGAUGCGUAGCCGACCUGAGAGGGUGAUCGGCUACACUGGAACUGAGACACGGUCCAGACUCCUACGGGAGGCAGCAGUAGGGAAUCUUCCGCAAUGGGCGAAAGCCUGACGGAGCAACGCCGCGUGAGUGAUGAAGGUCUUCGGAUCGUAAAACUCUGUUAUUAGGGAAGAACAAAUGUGUAAGUAACUAUGCACGUCUUGACGGUACCUAAUCAGAAAGCCACGGCUAACUACGUG